UGUAUCAUUUUCAAGGACAUU
rnacentral:siRNA from 1 species